UACGAAGGGGGCUAGCGUUGCUCGGAAUCACUGAGCGUAAAGGGCGCGUAGGCGGCGUUUUAAGUCGGGGGUGAAAGCCUGUGGCUCAACCACAGAAUGGCCUUCGAUACUGGGACGCUUGAGUAUGGUAGAGGUUGGUGGAACUGCGAGUGUAGAGGUGAAAUUCGUAGAUAUUCGCAAGAACACCGGUGGCGAAGGCGGCCAACUGGACCAUUACUGACGCUGAGGCGCGAAAGCGUGGGGAGCAAACAGG
rnacentral:rRNA from 1 species